rnacentral:rRNA from 1 species
CAUGCAAGUCGAGCGGCCCUUCGGGGCAGCGGCGGACGGGUGAGUAACGCGUGGGAACCUACCCAUUGGUGCGGAAUAACAGCGGGAAACUGCUGCUAAUACCGCAUAAGCCCUACGGGGGAAAGAUUUAUCGCCGAUGGAUGGGCCCGCGUUCGAUUAGGUAGUUGGAGGGGUAACGGCCCACCAAGCCUACGAUCGAUAGCUGGUCUGAGAGGAUGAUCAGCCACACUGGGACUGAGACACGGCCCAGACUCCUACGGGAGGCAGCAGUGAGGAAUAUUGGACAAUGGGGGAAACCCUGAUCCAGCCAUGCCGCGUGCGCGAUGAAGGCCUUAGGGUUGUAAAGCGCUUUCACCUGUGACGAUGAUGACGGUAGCGGGAGAAGAAGCCCCGGCUAACUCCGUGCCAGCAGCCGCGGUAAUACGGAGGGGGCAAGCGUUGUUCGGAUUUACUGGGCGUAAAGGGCGCGUAGGCGGCUGUGCAAGUUGGGGGUGAAAGGCCUGGGCUCAACCUAGGAACUGCCCUCAAAACUGCACGGCUCGAGAGUGGGAGAGGAUGGUGGAAUUCCCAGUGUAGAGGUGAGAUUCGUAGAUAUUGGGAAGAACACCGGUGGCGAAGGCGGCCAUCUGGACCAUUUCUGACGCUGAGGCGCGAAAGCGUGGGGAGCGAACAGGAUUAGAUACCCUGGUAGUCCACGCC